UUUAAAGCGAAUAAGGGCACAUGGUGGAUGCCUAGGGUCUGAAAGGCGAAGAAGGACGUGGUAAGCUGCGAUAAGCCAGGGGGAGUUGCACACGAGCGUUAUAUCCCUGGAUCUCCGAAUGGGACAACCUACUAUACUGAAGGUAUAGUACUCGAAAGAGAGCCAACCCCGAGAACUGAAACAUCUAAGUACCGGGAGGAAAAGAAAAUAAGAAUGAUUCCCUGAGUAGUGGCGAGCGAAAAGGGAAGAGCCCAAACCUGUGGGGCGUGCUCCACAGGGGUUGUAGGACUACUUUUAGAAACCUGUUUCAAUCUGAAUCAUCUGGAAAGUUGAGCCAGAGCGUGUGAAAGCCACGUAGGAGCAAAUAACAGGGGACGUGUAGUAUCCUGAGUAGCGCGGGACCGGAGGAAUCCUGCGUGAAUCUGCCGGCACCAUCCGGUAAGGCUAAAUACUCUUCAGACACCGAUAGUGAACCAGUACCGUAAGGGAAAGGUGAAAAGCACCCUGAAUAAGGGAGUGAAAUAGUACCUGAAACCGUGUGCCUACAAGCGGUCGGAGCCAGCAAUGGUGACGGCGUGCCUUUUGCAUAAUGAGCCUACGAGUUACUCCUGACUGGCGAGGUUAAGUUCUUAAGUAACGGAGCCGUAGCGAAAGCGAGUCCAAAUAGGGCGAUUUAGUCAGUCGGGGUAGACG
rnacentral:ncRNA from 1 species